UAUUAAGUCUAUGUAAUGAUUAUAGAGGAAAUUGUUUUUUUAUAUAUGCAUUUUAAAACCUAAUGAUUUUAUGUUUUGUCUCUUUCAUUUUGCUGCCUGUGUGAAGUACUUUGUAACGUGGAUUUUGAAAGUGCUGUAUAAAUAACAGAAGGGUCCGGCUGCGGCCUGAAGACAAGGGGGCGCAAAGUGAUCCUCCAGUUAAACCCUCUGGUGUAAUCCCCCCUCUGACCACAGUGUGGGUUGUAAUGGUAUAGUGACGCUGUUCGUAUUUCCGCUCGUUAACUCCACGGGAAGUGAAAACUGCAGAAGCAGUGAUUCAAAUUAUGACCUCGGUGAAAAACUGUAACCAAAAUAUGAGAUAUUCGUGUCUUUUUAUGUUUGUGGUGAAUGAAACUCGCAAGACUUCUCUUUGUUCGAGCUGAUAUUCAUCUGCUGGCCUUCAGCUAGUUUGUUCAUGACAUUUAUUCCGCUGUUUCUCUGCUGUGGAACCGGAUGAACACAGAAUCACAGACAACAGGAUGAAGUGGCUGCAGUUGGAGCUACAGAAACAGCAGAUACCUGCUCAGCCUUCUCAUCAUCACCUCUGACCGUCAGUUGUGACCUUCACUCCGGCCUCUAAUCCUCCAGGUCUGAUGGCUCCAAGAUGAGGAUAGCACACUGGAGACCCAGCCUGAUCUGAACCGAAAGGUUCUCUGUGAUUACCGUGAACGGAUACUCUAUUACAUCAUCAGGAGAUCUGGAACAAUGGACCUGAUGCUGCUUGUCAACCUGGUAAAAGCUCCUGUGUCUCCUUGAACUGAUCUCAUCUUCACUCCUUUAGCGCAUCAGUGCAACAUGCGUCUGUCCAGACUCCUCUGGUUGUCCUCCUUCACCUCAGACCUCCACGCAUCCCUCCUCUGGUCAGAAUGCAGCCUCUGCCCCCAGCAGGA